AUUGAACGCUGGCGGCAGGCCUAACACAUGCAAGUCGAGCGGAUGAAGGGAGCUUGCUCCUGGAUUCAGCGGCGGACGGGUGAGUAAUGCCUAGGAAUCUGCCUGGUAGUGGGGGAUAACGUCCGGAAACGGGCGCUAAUACCGCAUACGUCCUGAGGGAGAAAGUGGGGGAUCUUCGGACCUCACGCUAUCAGAUGAGCCUAGGUCGGAUUAGCUAGUUGGUGGGGUAAAGGCCUACCAAGGCGACGAUCCGUAACUGGUCUGAGAGGAUGAUCAGUCACACUGGAACUGAGACACGGUCCAGACUCCUACGGGAGGCAGCAGUGGGGAAUAUUGGACAAAGGGCGAAAGCCUGAUCCAGCCACGCCGCGUGUGUGAAGAAGGUCUUCGGAUUGUAAAGCACUUUAAGUUGGGAGGAAGGGCAGUAAGUUAAUACCUUGCUGUUUUGACGUUACCAACAGAAUAAGCACCGACUAACUUCGUG
rnacentral:rRNA from 1 species